CCUACGGGGGGCAGCAGUGGGGAAUAUUGCACAAUGGGCGCAAGCCUGAUGCAGCCAUGCCGCGUGUGUGAAGAAGGCCUUCGGGUUGUAAAGCACUUUCAGCGGGGAGGAAGGCGUUAAGGUUAAUAACCUUGUCGAUUGACGUUACCCGCAGAAGAAGCACCGGCUAACUCCGUGCCAGCAGCCGCGGUAAUACGGAGGGUGCAAGCGUCAAUCGGAAUUACUGGGCGUAAAGCGCACGCAGGCGGUCUGUCAAGUCGGAUGUGAAAUCCCCGGGCUCAACCUGGGAACUGCAUUCGAAACUGGCAGGCUAGAGUCUUGUAGAGGGGGGUAGAAUUCCAGGUGUAGCGGUGAAAUGCGUAGAGAUCGGGAGGAAUACCAGUGGCGAAGGCGGCCCCCUGGACAAAGACUGACGCUGAGGUGCGAAAGCGUGGGGAGCAAACAGGAUUAGAUACCCUAGUAGUC
rnacentral:rRNA from 1 species